AUCGAACGCUGGCGGCAGGCCUAACACAUGCAAGUCGAGCGAGCGGCGGACGGGUGAGCAAUGUAUGGGGACUGCCCGAUAGAGGGGGAUAACUAGUGGAAACGGUGGCUAAUACCGCUUACUACCGGUUAACCCAUAUGGGAUUAGCUAGUAGGUGGGGUAAAGGCUCACCGAGGGGACGAUCCCUAGCUGGUCUGAGAGGAUGAUCAGCCAACCUGGGACUGAGACACGGCCCAGACUCCUACGGAGGCAGCAGUGGGGAAUAUUGCACAAUGGGCGCAAGCCUGAUGCAGCCAUGCCGCGUGUAUGAAGAAGGCCUUAGGGUUGUAAAGUACUUUCAGCGGGGAGGCGUUACCCGCAGAGGAAGCACCGGCUAACUCCGUGCCAGCAGCCGCGGUAAUUC
rnacentral:rRNA from 1 species